GUGGGGAAUCUUCCGCAAUGGACGAAAGUCUGACGGAGCAACGCCGCGUGAGUGAUGACGGCCUUCGGGUUGUAAAGCUCUGUUAAUCGGGACGAAAGGCCUUCUUGCGAAUAGUGAGAAGGAUUGACGGUACCGGAAUAGAAAGCCACGGCUAACUACGUGCCAGCAGCCGCGGUAAUACGUAGGUGGCAAGCGUUGUCCGGAAUUAUUGGGCGUAAAGCGCGCGCAGGCGGAUAGGUCAGUCUGUCUUAAAAGUUCGGGGCUUAACCCCGUGAUGGGAUGGAAACUGCCAAUCUAGAGUAUCGGAGAGGAAAGUGGAAUUCCUAGUGUAGCGGUGAAAUGCGUAGAUAUUAGGAAGAACACCAGUGGCGAAGGCGACUUUCUGGACGAAAACUGACGCUGAGGCGCGAAAGCCAGGGGAGCGAACGGGAUUAGAAACCCUAGUAGUCC
rnacentral:rRNA from 1 species